rnacentral:rRNA from 1 species
UGGGGAAUAUUGGACAAUGGGCGCAAGCCUGAUCCAGCCAUGCCGCGUGAGUGAUGAAGGCCCUAGGGUUGUAAAGCUCUUUCACCGGUGAAGAUAAUGACGGUAACCGGAGAAGAAGCCCCGGCUAACUUCGUGCCAGCAGCCGCGGUAAUACGAAGGGGGCUAGCGUUGUUCGGAUUUACUGGGCGUAAAGCGCACGUAGGCGGACUUUUAAGUCAGGGGUGAAAUCCCGGGGCUCAACCCCGGAACUGCCUUUGAUACUGGAAGUCUUGAGUAUGGUAGAGGUGAGUGGAAUUCCGGGUUUAGAGGUGAAAUUCGUAGAUAUUCGGAGGAACACCAGUGGCGAAGGCGGCUCACUGGACCAUUACUGACGCUGAGGUGCGAAAGCGUGGGGAGCAAACAGG